rnacentral:tRNA from 1 species
UCCCUGGUGGUCCAGUGGUCCAGGACUUGGCACUUCCAUUGCCAUCACUCAGGUUCAAUCCCUGGUCGGAGAA